GCCUGGCGGGCUCAGUCGCUGGAGCAUGGGACUCUUGAUCUCAGGGUUGUGAGUUCGAGCCCCAUGUUGGGUG
rnacentral:tRNA from 1 species